UACGUAGGGGGCUAGCGUUGUCCGGAAUUAUUGGGCGUAAAGAGCUCGUAGGUGGUUUGUCGCGUUGUCCGUGAAAACUCACAGCUUAACUGUGGGCGUGCGGGCGAUACGGGCAGACUGGAGUACUGCAGGGGAGACUGGAAUUCCUGGUGUAGCGGUGGAAUGCGCAGAUAUCAGGAGGAACACCGGUGGCGAAGGCGGGUCUCUGGGCAGUAACUGACGCUGAGGAGCGAAAGCGUGGGGAGCGAACAGG
rnacentral:rRNA from 1 species